UGGGAGAUCGUCUAAUGGUAGGACGCGGGGCUCUGGACCCCGUAGUGGAGGUUCGACUCCUCCUCUCCCAGCCA
rnacentral:tRNA from 1 species